GGUCCUACGGGAGGCAGCAGUGAGGAAUAUUGGUCAAUGGGCGAGAGCCUGAACCAGCCAAGUCGCGUGAGGGAAGACGGCCCUACGGGUUGUAAACCUCUUUUGUCAGGGAGCAAGAACGGAUACGUGUAUCCGAGCGAGAGUACCUGAAGAAAAAGCAUCGGCUAACUCCGUGCCAGCAGCCGCGGUAAUACGGAGGAUGCGAGCGUUAUCCGGAUUUAUUGGGUUUAAAGGGUGCGUAGGCGGCGCUUCAGGUCAGCGGUGAAAUACCGGGGCUCAACCCCGGGGCUGCCGUUGAAACCGGG
rnacentral:rRNA from 1 species